AUCUUCCACAAUGGACGAAGGUCUGAUGGAGCAUGCCGCGUGAGCGAACAAAGUUUUCCGAUCGUAAAGCUCUGUUGUUAGGGAAGAACACCUCCGGGAACUUUCGCCCGUGGCGUGACAGUCCCUUAUGCUAAAGCCCCGGCUAACUACGUGCCAGCAGCCGCGGUAAUCGAGGGGG
rnacentral:rRNA from 1 species